rnacentral:rRNA from 1 species
UACGUAGGGUGCAAGCGUUGUCCGGAAUACUGGGCGUAAAGCGUGCGCAGGCGGUUGUGCAAGACCGAUGUGAAAUCCCCGGGCUUAACCUGGGAACUGCACUUGUGACUGCACGGCUAGAGUACGGUAGAGGGGGAUGGAAUUCCGCGUGUAGCAGUGAAAUGCGUAGAUAUGCGGAGGAACACCGAUGGCGAAGGCAAUCCCCUGGACCUGUACUGACGCUCAUGCACGAAAGCGUGGGGAGCAACAGG